UCGAGACUAUAAUUCUGAACAUAAUUACAUUUAGGUCUUGGCCUAAGACAAACAAAAAGGGCAAAAGUGGUUCUCCAUGGCUCAACCCUCUCUGGAACUUUUGAUGCAACCGCAGAGUGCAUUUUUGCUCAACAUCAUUUAGUGUGGCGUAUGCUCACCAUCCUAUUUAUCACUGUUAAAUGAGUUUGAAUUUUGAGAUUUGUGCUUAUCCACUACACGAAUCUCGAAAUUCAAACUCACAUAACGGUGAUAAACAAGAUGGUGAACAAUGAACAUACAUCACACUAAAUAGUGAUGAACAAAAAAACUCCCUACAACCACAUGGUUCUCCGUUUAUUACAACGUUGUAUGCUAGUAACGCAUUCCUGGCAGUUUGCCACGUGUCAGAAAAUGUCCAAUUUGCAGGAAUCCCAAAGCUCUCAUGACUGUCUGCAAAGAAUUAUAUGUUACCACAUCCACAUCGUAUCACAGGUGGCACACUUGGCAGUUUGCCACGUGUCAGAAAGUGUCCAAUUCGAGCUCUCUCUACGUCUGCGAAGAAGCUGACUUCUCGGUCAACCCUAGCGUCAAGUCUCUGCAAAUCACAGUUUCCCCAAUCUAAAACCCUAAAUUUCAAUCCAAAUCUCUAUACCCCAAAUUGAAAUCCUAACACAAAUUCAUAAAUCCUGCAACUUUAUCCCCAAAAUGCGAUUGUCCGGAUCGGGGUUCGGAUUAAUUUCUACGGUUUUGGCGUGGAGGACGUGAAUCCGAUCAGAAAACGAGCUCCGAAUUCCGAAUUCAAUGUAUAGAAUCGGUUUUCUGGCGGUGUUAUUCAUCGUCUUUGUCGUCGCCGAUGCUUCUUCUUCGCUCUCCAAGCACAGAAUUUUGAUUGGGCAAGGGCAAGGAGGGUUCUCCGGUGCCUAGUCCGCUGCUGCCUCCUACGGUGUCAAGUUCUGGU